AGCACGUACCAUAAUGCCUGUCUCAUUUUUGCAGUUUUUUCAUACAGGGUCUCUCUGUUUUGCUCAGGCCGGUUUCAAACAUCUGUCCUCAAGCAAUUCUCCUGCCUCGGUCUCCCAAAAUCCUGGGAUUACAGGUCUCAUAGAAUAGAGAGGCCUGAGGAGAGGGAGAGACACAGAAGAAUGGUCGGUGGAACAGCCAGAACACACAUCGCAUUUACC
rnacentral:lncRNA from 1 species